rnacentral:rRNA from 1 species
UGGGGAAUAUUGGACAAUGGGCGAAAGCCUGAUCCAGCCAUGCCGCGUGUGUGAAGAAGGUCUUCGGAUUGUAAAGCACUUUAAGUUGGGAGGAAGGGCCAUUACCUAAUACGUGAUGGUUUUGACGUUACCGACAGAAUAAGCACCGGCUAACUCUGUGCCAGCAGCCGCGGUAAUACAGAGGGUGCAAGCGUUAAUCGGAAUUACUGGGCGUAAAGCGCGCGUAGGUGGUUUGUUAAGUUGGAUGUGAAAUCCCCGGGCUCAACCUGGGAACUGCAUUCAAAACUGACUGACUAGAGUAUGGUAGAGGGUGUGGAAUUUCCUGUGUAGCGGUGAAAUGCGUAGAUAUAGGAAGGAACACCAGUGGCGAAGGCGACCACCUGGACUGAUACUGACACUGAGGUGCGAAAGCGUGGGGAGCAAACAGGAUUAGAUACCCCCGUAGUCCCUGAGCGGGCUGGCAAGGCGCAU